rnacentral:piRNA from 1 species
UGCAUUAAAUUUGCCAAGGGAAUGCCAAAU